GAUGAACGCUGGCGGCGUGCCUAAUACAUGCAAGUCGAGCGAACGGACGAGAAGCUUGCUUCUCUGAUGUUAGCGGCGGACGGGUGAGUAACACGUGGAUACCCUACCUAUAAGACUGGGAUAACUUCGGGAAACCGGAUCUAAUACCGGAUAAUAUUUUGAACCGCAUGGUUCAACAGUGAAAGACGGUCUUGCUGGCACUUAUAGAUGGAUCCGCGCUGCAUUAGCUAGUUGGUAAGGUAACGGCUUACCAAGGCAACGAUGCAUAGCCGACCUGAGAGGGUGAUCGGCCACACUGGAACUGAGACACGGUCCAGACUCCUACGGGAGGCAGCAGUAGGGAAUCUUCGGCAAUGGGCGAAAGCCUGACGCAGCAACGCCGCGUGAGUGAUGAAGGUCUUCGGAUCGUAAAACUCUGUUAUUAGGGAAGAACAGAUGUGUAAUUAACCGUGGACAUCUUGACGGUACCUAAUCAGAAAGCCACGGCUAACUACGUG
rnacentral:rRNA from 1 species